GCCCAGACUCCUACGGGAGGCAGCAGUGGGGAAUAUUGGGCAAUGGACGCAAGUCUGACUCAGCAACGCCGCGUGAAGGAAGAAGGCUUUCGGAUUGUAAACUUCUUUUAAGGGGGAAGAGCAGAAGACGGUACCCCUUGAAUAAGCCACGGCUAACUCCGUGCCAGCAGCCGCGGUAAUACGGAGGGUGCGAGCGUUAAUCGGAAUUACUGGGCGUAAAGCGCUCGUAGGCGGUAUGUCAAGUCAAGGGUGAAAUCCCCGCGCUCAACGUGGGAACUGCCUUUGAAACUGGCAAACUGGAGUGUGUGAGAGGAUAGUGGAAUUCCAGGUGUAGGAGUGAAAUCCGUAGAUAUCUGGAGGAACAUCAGUGGCGAAGGCGACUAUCUGGCACAUAACUGACGCUGAGGAGCGAAAGCGUGGGUAGCAAACAGGAUUAGAUACCCGAGUACCA
rnacentral:rRNA from 1 species